AUGCUGCUGCUGGCAGCACUUGUGGCCACAGCCGCUUGGUCGUGUGGAUCUGCACAAGAAACUCCCGUGCAGACCCCUAUAUCCAUUACCAAGUUCCAAAGAAGUGCACGGAUGAUGUGCGAAAUCCAAGCAUUAGGGACGAAUUUUGAUGGCACCGUCAUACACUGGUAUCAGCAGAAGGAGGGGAAAGGUCCAGAGAGACUCCUGUUCUUCUCAGGAGGGAAAGCUUCGGUUGAAAGUGGCUUUCAAGCAAACAGGUACAUGGUUGAAAAAGUUUCCAGCCAGAAGCGGUGCAUUCUUACAAUCAAAGAUGUCAUUCCAGAUGACACUGCUACUUACUUCUGCGCGUACUGGGACCCUCACUGUGACAGAAACUCCAAGAUCAUCAAGGCAAAAAUAAACCCUCUGAACCUCAAUGUCUGA